rnacentral:rRNA from 1 species
CUCGGCGAGGCCGGGUGUUGUUUGAGUAUUGGGCGUAAAGGGUGACUAGGCGGUUCGGGGCGUGGAGGUGGUCCGACCUGGGUGUCCCCCAGGAGCGACGUUCCGCCCUGGGCUAGAGGACGGUAGGGGAAGAGGGAAUGCGGACGGCACCGUUGAAAUGGGAUCAACGUCCGUGGAACACCGAUGGCGAAGGCACUCUUCUGGGCCGAUCCUGACGCUGGCUCACGAAAGCCUGGGGAGCGAAACGG